CAGGGAUGCUCGGGCAGCGGAGCAGCGGGAUGCGGCGGUGUCGGAGCGCGGGGCUGGCAGCGCUGGCCGCGCUGCUGCUCGUGGCUGCAGCCAGAGCCCAGGUCCAGCAGGAGCCACGGCUGGAGACCACCGAGAACACCGGCAUCAACAUCAGCUGCUCACAUCCCAAAAUCCAGACCAGAGACUGGAUCCAGUGGUACCGUCAUCUCCCGGGCCGAGGACCCGAACUCCUCGCGCUCAUUGUGAAAGAGUCCAAAGAGCUGCCGGACAUUGCGGGCGGUCUGUGGGUGUCGGCAGAUCGCCGGAGCAGCGCGCUGUGGCUCCGGCGGCCCCGGCGCGGGGACGCGGCCGUGUAUUACUGCGCGCUGGGGGACACGGGCAGAGGAGCCGGGGCUGCGGCCGGGCACGAACCGCCGCGGGCGGGGUGUUUGCACGAGGUGCUGUUCCCAGACAUGUUUGCCUUGAAGGGACUCGUCUAA